rnacentral:rRNA from 1 species
GGUUAAGCGACUAAGCGUACACGGUGGAUGCCCUGGCAGUCAGAGGCGAUGAAGGACGUGCUAAUCUGCGAUAAGCGUCGGUAAGGUGAUAUGAACCGUUAUAACCGGCGAUUUCCGAAUGGGGAAACCCAGUGUGUUUCGACACACUAUCAUUAACUGAAUCCAUAGGUUAAUGAGGCGAACCGGGGGAACUGAAACAUCUAAGUACCCCGAGGAAAAGAAAUCAACCGAGAUUCCCCCAGUAGCGGCGAGCGAACGGGGAGCAGCCCAGAGCCUGAAUCAGUGUGUGUGUUAGUGGAAGCGUCUGGAAAGGCGCGCGAUACAGGGUGACAGCCCCGUACACAAAAAUGCACAUAUUGUGAGCUCGAUGAGUAGGGCGGGACACGUGGUAUCCUGUCUGAAUAUGGGGGGACCAUCCUCCAAGGCUAAAUACUCCUGACUGACCGAUAGUGAACCAGUACCGUGAGGGAAAGGCGAAAAGAACCCCGGCGAGGGGAGUGAAAAAGAACCUGAAACCGUGUACGUACAAGCAGUGGGAGCACGCUUAGGCGUGUGACUGCGUACCUUUUGUAUAAUGGGUCAGCGACUUAUAUUCUGUAGCAAGGUUAACCGAAUAGGGGAGCCGAAGGGAAACCGAGUCUUAACUGGGCGUUAAGUUGCAGGGUAUAGACCCGAAACCCGGUGAUCUAGCCAUGGGCAGGUUGAAGGUUGGGUAACACUAACUGGAGGACCGAACCGACUAAUGUUGAAAAAUUAGCGGAUGACUUGUGGCUGGGGGUGAAAGGCCAAUCAAACCGGGAGAUAGCUGGUUCUCCCCGAAAGCUAUUUAGGUAGCGCCUCGUGAAUUCAUCUCCGGGGGUAGAGCACUGUUUCGGCAAGGGGGUCAUCCCGACUUACCAACCCGAUGCAAACUGCGAAUACCGGAGAAUGUUAUCACGGGAGACACACGGCGGGUGCUAACGUCCGUCGUGAAGAGGGAAACAACCCAGACCGCCAGCUAAGGUCCCAAAGUCAUGGUUAAGUGGGAAACGAUGUGGGAAGGCCCAGACAGCCAGGAUGUUGGCUUAGAAGCAGCCAUCAUUUAAAGAAAGCGUAAUAGCUCACUGGUCGAGUCGGCCUGCGCGGAAGAUGUAACGGGGCUAAACCAUGCACCGAAGCUGCGGCAGCGACACUAUGUGUUGUUGGGUAGGGGAGCGUUCUGUAAGCCUGCGAAGGUGUACUGUGAGGUAUGCUGGAGGUAUCAGAAGUGCGAAUGCUGACAUAAGUAACGAUAAAGCGGGUGAAAAGCCCGCUCGCCGGAAGACCAAGGGUUCCUGUCCAACGUUAAUCGGGGCAGGGUGAGUCGACCCCUAAGGCGAGGCCGAAAGGCGUAGUCGAUGGGAAACAGGUUAAUAUUCCUGUACUUGGUGUUACUGCGAAGGGGGGACGGAGAAGGCUAUGUUGGCCGGGCGACGGUUGUCCCGGUUUAAGCGUGUAGGCUGGUUUUCCAGGCAAAUCCGGAAAAUCAAGGCUGAGGCGUGAUGACGAGGCACUACGGUGCUGAAGCAACAAAUGCCCUGCUUCCAGGAAAAGCCUCUAAGCAUCAGGUAACAUCAAAUCGUACCCCAAACCGACACAGGUGGUCAGGUAGAGAAUACCAAGGCGCUUGAGAGAACUCGGGUGAAGGAACUAGGCAAAAUGGUGCCGUAACUUCGGGAGAAGGCACGCUGAUAUGUAGGUGAAGCGACUUGCUCGUGGAGCUGAAAUCAGUCGAAGAUACCAGCUGGCUGCAACUGUUUAUUAAAAACACAGCACUGUGCAAACACGAAAGUGGACGUAUACGGUGUGACGCCUGCCCGGUGCCGGAAGGUUAAUUGAUGGGGUCAGCGCAAGCGAAGCUCUUGAUCGAAGCCCCGGUAAACGGCGGCCGUAACUAUAACGGUCCUAAGGUAGCGAAAUUCCUUGUCGGGUAAGUUCCGACCUGCACGAAUGGCGUAAUGAUGGCCAGGCUGUCUCCACCCGAGACUCAGUGAAAUUGAACUCGCUGUGAAGAUGCAGUGUACCCGCGGCAAGACGGAAAGACCCCGUGAACCUUUACUAUAGCUUGACACUGAACAUUGAGCCUUGAUGUGUAGGAUAGGUGGGAGGCUUAGAAGUGUGGACGCCAGUCUGCAUGGAGCCGACCUUGAAAUACCACCCUUUAAUGUUUGAUGUUCUAACGUUGACCCGUAAUCCGGGUUGCGGACAGUGUCUGGUGGGUAGUUUGACUGGGGCGGUCUCCUCCUAAAGAGUAACGGAGGAGCACGAAGGUUGGCUAAUCCUGGUCGGACAUCAGGAGGUUAGUGCAAUGGCAUAAGCCAGCUUGACUGCGAGCGUGACGGCGCGAGCAGGUGCGAAAGCAGGUCAUAGUGAUCCGGUGGUUCUGAAUGGAAGGGCCAUCGCUCAACGGAUAAAAGGUACUCCGGGGAUAACAGGCUGAUACCGCCCAAGAGUUCAUAUCGACGGCGGUGUUUGGCACCUCGAUGUCGGCUCAUCACAUCCUGGGGCUGAAGUAGGUCCCAAGGGUAUGGCUGUUCGCCAUUUAAAGUGGUACGCGAGCUGGGUUUAGAACGUCGUGAGACAGUUCGGUCCCUAUCUGCCGUGGGCGCUGGAGAACUGAGGGGGGCUGCUCCUAGUACGAGAGGACCGGAGUGGACGCAUCACUGGUGUUCGGGUUGUCAUGCCAAUGGCACUGCCCGGUAGCUAAAUGCGGAAGAGAUAAGUGCUGAAAGCAUCUAAGCACGAAACUUGCCCCGAGAUGAGUUCUCCCUGACCCUUUAAGGGUCCUGAAGGAACGUUGAAGACGACGACGUUGAUAGGCCGGGUGUGUAAGCGCAGCGAUGCGUUGAGCUAACCGGUACUAAUGAACCGUGAGGCUUAACCUU